CAUAUCAAUAAGCGGAGGAAAAGAAACCAACAGGGAUUGCCCCAGUAACGGCGAGUGAAGCGGCAACAGCUCAAAUUUGAAAUCUGGUCCCCAGGGCCCGAGUUGUAAUUUGCAGAGGAUGCUUUUGGUGAGGUGCCUUCCGAGUUCCCUGGAACGGGACGCCAUAGAGGGUGAGAGCCCCGUCUGGUUGGAUACCGAGCCUCUGUAAAGCUCCUUCGACGAGUCGAGUAGUUUGGGAAUGCUGCUCUAAAUGGGAGGUAUAUGUCUUCUAAAGCUAAAUAUUGGCCAGAGACCGAUAGCGCACAAGUAGAGUGAUCGAAAGAUGAAAAGCACUUUGAAAAGAGGGUUAAAUAGUACGUGAAAUUGUUGAAAGGGAAGCACUUAUGACCAGACUUGGCCCCGGUGAAUCAUCCAGCGGUUCCCGCUGGUGCACUUUGCCGGGGUUCAGGCCAGCAUCAGUUCGCUCCGGGGGAUAAAGGCUUUGGGAAUGUGGCUCCCUCGGGAGUGUUAUAGCCCAUUGCGUAAUACCCUGUGGCGGGCUGAGGUUCGCGCUUUAUGCAAGGAUGCUGGCAUAAUGGUCAUCAGUGACCCGUCUUGAAACACGGACCAAGGAGUCGUCUUCGUAUGCGAGUGUUCGGGUGUUAAACCCCUACGCGUAAUGAAAGUGAACGCAGGUGAGAGCCCUCCAGGGCGCAUCAUCGACCGAUCCUGAUGUUCUCGGAUGGAUUUGAGUAAGAGCAUACGGGGCCGGACCCGAAAGAAGGUGAACUAUGCCUGUAUAGGGUGAAGCCAGAGGAAACUCUGGUGGAGGCUCGCAGCGGUUCUGACGUGCAAAUCGAUCGUCAAAUAUGGGCAUGGGGGCGAAAGACUAAUCGAACCUUCUAGUAGCUGGUUUCCGCCGA
rnacentral:rRNA from 1 species